rnacentral:rRNA from 1 species
UACGGGGGUGGCAAGCGUUGUUCGGAAUUACUGGGCGUAAAGGGCUCGUAGGCGGCCAACUAAGUCAGACGUGAAAUCCCUCGGCUUAACCGGGGAACUGCAUCUGAUACUGGAUGGCUUGAGUUCGGGAGAGGGAUGCGGAAUUCCAGGUGUAGCGGUGAAAUGCGUAGAUAUCUGGAGGAACACCGGUGGCGAAGGCGGCAUCCUGGACCGACACUGACGCUGAGGAGCGAAAGCCAGGGGAGCAAACGGG